rnacentral:rRNA from 1 species
GCCCCUAGGGAGGCAGCAGUAGGGAAUCUUCCACAAUGGACGAAAGUCUGAUGGAGCAACGCCGCGUGAGUGAAGAAGGGUUUCGGCUCGUAAAGCUCCGUUGGUAGUGAAGAAAGAUAGAGGUAGUAACUGGCCUUUAUUUGACGGUAAUUACUUAGAAAGUCACGGCUAACUACGUGCCAGCAGCCGCGGUAAUACGUAGGUGGCCAGCGUUGUCCGGAUUUAUUGGGCGUAAAGC